rnacentral:rRNA from 1 species
CCUCUUCCAGGUUCGGGCUGGGNCCCCCAUACNANGUUCCNGCAUGGNUGUCGUCNAGCUCCGUGUCCGUGAGAUGUUGGGGUUAAGUCCCCGCAAACGAGCGCANCCCUCGCCCUUAGUUGCCAUCGGUUCGGCCGGGCACUCUAGGGGAACUGCCGGUGACAAGCCGGAGGAAGGCGGGGAUGACGUCAAGUCCUCAUGGCCCUUAUGGGCUGGGCUACACACGUGCUACAAUGGCGGUGACAGUGGGNAAANAAGCCGCAAGGUGGAGCCAAUCCCCAAAAACCGUCUCAGUUCGGAUUGUUCUCUGCAACUCGAGAGCAUGAAGGUGGAAUCGCUAGUAAUCGUGGAUCAGCAUGCCACGGUGAAUACGUUCCCGGGCCUUGUACACACCGCCCGUCACACCAUGGGAGUUGGUUUUACCCGAAGCCGGUGCGCUAACCGCAAGGANGCAAAAAACCACGGUAAGGUCCCCAAGUA